rnacentral:lncRNA from 1 species
CAAAUAUUAAUUCUUAAACAUAUAUUAUUCAAAUUCACUCCAAAUUUAUAGAUAAGAAAUUCGAGUAUUCAAAUCAAUUUUUUUUUUUUAAUUUUUAACAUUGUCCCUCAAUUUUUUCAAUCCAAAUCUUUGUUUUGCCAACGAUGACGAGAAUGUCAACCUUCGAACUAGUUGUAGCUUCUUCAAUAAUAUUUCUUGAUUUUACUUGUUUAUUUAUUUCAAU